UACAGAGGUCCCAAGCGUUAAUCGGAAUUACUGGGCGUAAAGCGCACGUAGGUGGCUUGGCAAGUCGGGUGUGAAAUCCCCGGGCUCAACCUGGGAACUGCAUUCGAGACUGCCUUGCUAGAGUAUGGGAGAGGGAAGUGGAAUUUCCGGUGUAGCGGUGAAAUGCGUAGAUAUCGGAAGGAACAUCAGUGGCGAAGGCGACUUCCUGGACCAAUACUGACACUCAGGUGCGAAAGCGUGGGGAGCAAACAGG
rnacentral:rRNA from 1 species